GUCCUGAAUUCAAGAACUGACUAUGGAGGCUGUGUCAUCAGCACAGCAAGGGCUGGUCCCUUGCCUGCACCGCUGCAUGGUCUUCUCCAGGAGAAAGGCAGAAGCAGCUACUGGCCGUUUAGGAACAGAGGUAUAUUUUCCAGGAGUGAAUACGAAGAAACAGUAAAUGCAGCCAGGCAUUUGCUUUCAAGAAACACAGGAGGUGCUGUGUUCAAAAGCCUUCCAGCGGUAGGCUUUUGGAUAUGCAAAUAUCCUAGUAUCUACAGUUAUUACGGAACAAUUCUAAAACCAAAGGUGAAAAUCCUGAAUCAGUAGAGCCUGAAUGACAGGGAACAGGUCUCCACUGUGGUCAUUACGAGGGCUUGCAGAUGGACAGGAGCUGGUCUUCCUCCAGCUUACCAGGAAGGGAAGGAUGGCGUGUCCUCAGGCAAGAAGGCUGCCAGCUCUACUGGGCUGGCAGGGAAUCACCCCCCUGAAGGUAGGAUGACAAAGUGGGAAUUGCAGUUAAAUGCCCUCCAGGAGGUUUAGGUGAGUGUCUGCUGGUAGACUUAACUGAAGUGAAUUUCCAUGUCUAUAUUCAAACUGAACACUGUGGAGUUUACUUAUUACAGACUGUCUGCUCUGCAGUGUUACUGCAUGUGACUGAAUUACUAACAGCUUACCAAUAUAUAUCUUCACCUUGCCUUGGUUUUGCUAUGUGCCUUCCAGAAUUAGAAGAUUCACAGUGAGAAACAUGGUUUAUAUAUUUAUUUAGAAGCCAUUCCGAGCAACAGCAAUUUUACUGGUUUUGUUCAUUUUCAUGGAUUUGAUUCAUUGCUUUUUAAAGCAAAUAGAAAUCUUUCCAUUGUUUUCAGUUGGUUCUUGGGGCUUGACAGUAUUUAGUAGGAGCUGAAAGAUCUGAACUUCUAAAUCAUGAUAUAUGAUGGCAUUCUGCAGUGCCCGGUUGUCACUUGUAUACAUAAUCCCAGUAUCUGUUGCAGUGUAUUUCUGCAUGAGGAAUUUCUAUUUUGUUAAAUUUUCACAAGUAAGUUGUUAUGAAAGACUUAAAUAAAAUAUCAUCAACAUUAUAUUUGUCACAAAUGAGAA